rnacentral:rRNA from 1 species
GAGUUUGAUUCUGGCUCAGAUUGAACGCUGGCGGCAUGCCUUACACAUGCAAGUCGAACGGUAACAGGUCUUCAGACGCUGACGAGUGGCGAACGGGUGAGUAAUACAUCGGAACGUGCCCAGUCGUGGGGGAUAACUACUCGAAAGAGUAGCUAAUACCGCAUACGAUCUGAGGAUGAAAGCGGGGGACCUUCGGGCCUCGCGCGAUUGGAGCGGCCGAUGGCAGAUUAGGUAGUUGGUGGGAUAAAAGCUUACCAAGCCGACGAUCUGUAGCUGGUCUGAGAGGACGACCAGCCACACUGGGACUGAGACACGGCCCAGACUCCUACGGGAGGCAGCAGUGGGGAAUUUUGGACAAUGGGCGAAAGCCUGAUCCAGCAAUGCCGCGUGCAGGAUGAAGGCCUUCGGGUUGUAAACUGCUUUUGUACGGAACGAAAAAGCUUCUCCUAAUACGAGAGGCCCAUGACGGUACCGUAAGAAUAAGCACCGGCUAACUACGUGCCAGCAGCCGCGGUAAUACGUAGGGUGCGAGCGUUAAUCGGAAUUACUGGGCGUAAAGCGUGCGCAGGCGGUUAUGUAAGACAGAUGUGAAAUCCCCGGGCUC